rnacentral:rRNA from 1 species
GAUUAGAUACCGUCGUAGUCUUAACUAUAAACUAUGCCGACCAGGGAUAUGAGUUGUUAUGAAUAGAUUUUAUCUAUUCAAUUUCCUCUUGUGGACCUUGUGAGAAAUCAUAAGUUUUUGGGUUCUGGGGGGAGUAUGGUCGCAAGGCUGAAACUUAAAGGAAUUGACGGAGGGGCACCACCAGGAGUGGAGCGUGCGGCUUAAUUUGACUCAACACGGGAAAACUUACCAGGUCCAGACAUUAGAAGGAUUGACAGAUUGAUAGCUCUUUCAUGAUUUAAUGGGUGGUGGUGCAUGGCCGUUCUUAGUUGGUGGAGUGAUUUGUCUGGUUAAUUCCGAUAACGAACGAGACCUUUACCAUACUAAAUAGUUUGAUUUAUUCAUUUAUGAAUAAAUUUAUUUUAUUAAACUUCUUGGAGGGACUAUUGGUUCUUAAACCAAAGGAAGUAAAGGCGAUAACAGGUCUGUGAUGCCCUUAGAUGUUCUGGGCUGCACGCGCGCUACAAUGAUAAACUCAACGAGUAUUUAAUAUUUAUUUAUUAUAUUGCUGUAUUGGAAAAUAUGGCUAAUCUUAAACGUUUAUCGUGCUUGGGAUAGAUGAUUGCAAUUAUUUAUCUUGAACCAGGAAUUCCUAGUAAUCGUAUAUCAUCAGUGUGCGAUGAUUACGUCCCUGCCCCUUGUACACACCGCCCGUCGCUGCUACCGAUUGGAUGAUCCGGUGAAAUCCUCGGAUAAUGAUAAAUACUUUACUUUGUAAAGUUUAUCGUUAGAAGUUGAUUAAACCUUAUCAUCUAGAGGAAGCAAAAGUCGUAACAAGGUUUCCGUAGGUGAACCUGCAGAAGGAUCA